rnacentral:rRNA from 1 species
UACGAAGGGGGCUAGCGUUGCUCGGAAUCACUGGGCGUAAAGCGCACGUAGGCGGAUUGCUAAGUCAGGGGUGAAAUCCUGGAGCUCAACUCCAGAACUGCCUUUGAUACUGGCGACCUUGAGUCCGGGAGAGGUGAGUGGAACUGCGAGUGUAGAGGUGAAAAUUCGUAGAUAUUCGCAAGAACACCAGUGGCGAAGGCGGCUCACUGGCCCGAUACUGACGCUGAGGUGCGAAAGCGUGGGGAGCAAACAGG